UACGGGGGGAGCAAGCGUUGUUCGGAUUUACUGGGCGUAAAGGGCGCGUAGGCGGCCACCGCAAGUCGAUUGUGAAAUCUCCGGGCUUAACCCGGAAAGGUCAACCGAUACUGCGGGGCUAGAGUGCGGAAGGGGCAACUGGAAUUCUUGGUGUAGCGGUGAAAUGCGUAGAUAUCAAGAGGAACACCUGCGGCGAAGGCGGGUUGCUGGGCCGACACUGACGCUGAUGCGCGAAAGCUAGGGGAGCGAACGGG
rnacentral:rRNA from 1 species